rnacentral:rRNA from 1 species
GACGAACGCUGGCGGCGUGCUUAACACAUGCAAGUCGAACGGAAAGGCCCUGCGUUUGUGGGGUGCUCGAUUGGCGAACGGGUGAGUAACACGUGAGUAACCUGCCCUUGACUUUGGGAUAAAUUCAGGGAACUGGGGCUAAUACCGGAUAGGAUCUCCUGCUGCAUGUUGUGGGUUGGAAAGUUUCGGCUGUUGGGGAUGUACUCGCGGCUUCUCAGCUUGUUGGUGGGGUAGUUGCUUACCAAGGCUUUGACGGGUAGCCGGCAUGAGAGGGUGACCGGCCACCUUGGGACUGAGAUACGGCGCAGAAGCGUAUCGGAGGCAGCAGUGGGGAACCUUGCACAACGGCGGCACGCCUGAUGUAGAAACGCUGCGUGCGGGAUGCCGGCCUUCGGGUUGUAAACAGCUUUCGAAUGUGACGAAGCGUGAGUGACGGUAAUGGGUAAAGAAGCACCGGCUAACUACGUG